GCAGGGUGAAGCCAGCACUCAAAAAUACCAUGUGCAUACUCACAAGCAUCACCCUGCCUGCAUGACCCCUUCCGAAACUCAGGGCAUGGGACACAGCUAUAAUGGUAUUUCCUUGGAUCUCGCCGCCUCGCAUUUUCACCAGGGUGAACAAAUGGGCAUUCCGUCCAAUCAUGGGAAUAUGCCCUAGAGCAAGGCUUCACCUUAAACGUAUACAUUCUAAAUUCAUCAGUACCAUAUAUGCCAUUCUUGAUAUCUGGAAGAGUGAGAUCAACAGGAUACUCUUUCUUUUCAGUACCAUCUUUUGAAAAUAUGGGUGUUGAAACUUCCUGGUUGUUCUUGCCUAUCAAUUUCAUUAGGAUUCUGAUUAGCCAAAACACAAGAUUCAUCACUAUAACAACCACCCUUUAGCACAAGCUCUAGUGCC
rnacentral:misc_RNA from 1 species